CAAUAGCGUAUAUUUAAGUUGCUGCAGUUAAAAAGCUCGUAGUUGGAUUUCGGGUGGGAAUGGCCGGUCCGCCGUUUCGGUGUGCACUUGCUACGCCCACCUUGCUGCCGGGGACGUGCUCUUGAGUUCACGCUCGGGACACGGAGUCGGCGAGGUUACUUUGAGUAAAUUAGAGUGUUCAAAGCAGGCCUACGCUCUGAAUACAUUAGCAUGGAAUAACACGAUAGGACUCUGGCCUAUCUUGUUGGUCUGUAGGACCGGAGUAAUGAUUAAGAGGGACAGUCGGGGGCAUUCGUAUUUCAUUGUCAGAGGUGAAAUUCUUGGAUUUAUGAAAGAUGAACUACUGCGAAAGCAUUUGCCAAGGAUGUUUUCAUUAA
rnacentral:rRNA from 1 species